rnacentral:rRNA from 1 species
GAGUGAACGCUGGCGGUAGGCCUAACACAUGCAAGUCGAACGGCAGCACAGUAAGAGCUUGCUCUUACGGGUGGCGAGUGGCGGACGGGUGAGGAAUACAUCGGAACCUACUUUUUCGUGGGGGAUAACGUAGGGAAACUUACGCUAAUACCGCAUACGACCUACGGGUGAAAGCAGGGGAUCUUCGGACCUUGCGCGAUUGAAUGAGCCGAUGUCGGAUUAGCUAGUUGGCGGGGUAAAGGCCCACCAAGGCGACGAUCCGUAGCUGGUCUGAGAGGAUGAUCAGCCACACUGGAACUGGGACACGGUCCAGACUCCUACGGGAGGCAGCAGUGGGGAAUAUUGGACAAUGGGCGCAAGCCUGAUCCAGCCAUACCGCGUGGGUGAAGAAGGCCUUCGGGUUGUAAAGCCCUUUUGUUGGGAAAGAAAAGCAGCAGGUUAAUACCCCGCUGUUCUGACGGUACCCAAAGAAUAAGCACCGGCUAACUUCGUG